GGCAACGUGCCUGAGUGGUUAAAGGGUAUGACUCGAAAUCAUAUGACUUCGGUCGCACAGGUUCGAAUCCUGUCGUUGUCG
rnacentral:tRNA from 5 species